rnacentral:rRNA from 1 species
AUGUGCUGGUGGCAAACCCUUCCCCAAUCACAACAGCCGCCAGAGCCGCCGCGCCUCUCCUUCCUCCUCGCCGCCCCCUGUCGCGCGCGCAUCCCUCGGAUCAUCGUGCCCAACUCCCCUUCGUGUUUCUCCUCCUCCCAGAACCACAUCCCGUCGCUUAGGCUCCUUGGUGGCGGCCGGCUCGAGGCGAGCCUGGCGCAGGCAGGGAGAAGCAGCGGGGCGGCGGAUGCGGGCGGGAGAGUGCCGGACGGCACCGUCAUUGUCGCCCCGCCAAGACGCAUCGAAGAAGGACCAGGAUCUCACCCGCGUCCCUUCUGGAUGCACCUCCCCAGUGAUUUCCUCCUGCCUAAUUCAGCUCCCCUUUCCAUCUAA